rnacentral:rRNA from 1 species
GGAUUAGUGGCGAACGGGUGAGUAACACGUGAGCAACCUGCCCUUGACUCUGGGAUAAGCCUGGGAAACUGGGUCUAAUACCGGAUACUACUUCCUGCCGCAUGGUGGGGGGUGGAAAGCCUUGUGCGGUCUUGGAUGGGCUCGCGGCCUAUCAGCUUGUUGGUGGGGUAAUGGCCUACCAAGGCGACGACGGGUAGCCGGCCUGAGAGGGUGACCGGCCACACUGGGACUGAGACACGGCCCAGACUCCUACGGGAGGCAGCAGUGGGGAAUAUUGCACAAUGGGCGCAAGCCUGAUGCAGCGACGCCGCGUGGGGGAUGACGGCCUUCGGGUUGUAAACCCCUUUCGGCAGGGAACAAGCCUUCGGGUGAGGGUACCUGCGGAAGAAGCGCCGGCUAACUACGUGCCAGCAGCCGCGGUAAUACGUAGGGCGCGAGCGUUAUCCGGAAUUAUUGGGCGUAAAGAGCUCGUAGGCGGUUUGUCGCGUCUGCUGUGAAAGCCCGGGGCUCAACCCCGGGUCUGCAGUGGGUACGGGCAGGCUGGAGUGCAGUAGGGGAGACUGGAAUUCCUGGUGUAGCGGUGAAAUGCGCAGAUAUCAGGAGGAACACCGAUGGCGAAGGCAGGUCUCUGGGCUGUAACUGACGCUGAGGAGCGAAAGCAUGGGGAGCGAACAGGAUUAGAUACCCUGGUAGUCCAUGCCGUAAACGUUGGGCACUAGGUGU